rnacentral:lncRNA from 1 species
CUGCAUUUCUGUCAAUUCCUUACAGGCAAAGACCAGAGACACACCCAGCGGCAGCCGUUGACUCCCUCCACCCUUGCUUCCCUCUCAACCAUCUCACCUCCAUCUGUCCAGUGGAGCCAGAUGUCCCACCUUCUUGGGAGAAAUUAAUUGAGGCUCAUUUCCAGGACAGAGGGGCAAGCUGGGUCUGAGGAGCCAAGCAGAAAAACUUCCCAAAAUCACUGGGUGGGGAGGGGUCAGAGACUUACUGCUGCCCCAGCUGUUCUGACUCUGCCCCCAGCUUUUGGCCCCACCCUUUUAAAGCACCUUCAGAGGUUCCCAAUGGUGACAGUAAACAAGUCUCCACUGUCCUGGCCAUCUCUGCUGUGUUCACCCUACUCCUGAUCUUUCUGGCUGCUCAGGGACUGACAGCCAAGAUGUGAGGCUGUGAUGAGCAGGAACAGGGAGGCCUGGAGCCCCCAGGCCAUUGUCAUCACUUCCCUGAUCUGCCUAAAUUCUGCCCAGCAGUCCGUGAAAAUGGUUUGCUGAUGACAUAUGUAAGGACUUUAACUCCCCUCAAGCAAUCUGCUCAUCUCAAAGGGUAAAACAUUGGCUCACUCCUAAUGCAAUAAAUGACACAUAAGGUCACAAUUCAAUGGUA